rnacentral:rRNA from 1 species
GAUGAACGCUGGCGGCGUGCCUAAUACAUGCAAGUCGAGCGAACAGACGAGGAGCUUGCUCCUCUGACGUUAGCGGCGGACGGGUGAGUAACACGUGGAUAACCUACCUAUAAGACUGGGAUAACUUCGGGAAACCGGAGCUAAUACCGGAUAACAUAUUGAACCGCAUGGUUCAAUAGUGAAAGACGGUUUUGCUGUCACUUAUAGAUGGAUCCGCGCCGCAUUAGCUAGUUGGUAUGGUAACGGCUUACCAAGGCGACGAUGCGUAGCCGACCUGAGAGGGUGAUCGGCCACACUGGAACUGAGACACGGUCCAGACUCCUACGGGAGGCAGCAGUAGGGAAUCUUCCGCAAUGGGCGAAAGCCUGACGGAGCAACGCCGCGUGAGUGAUGAAGGUCUUCGGAUCGUAAAACUCUGUUAUUAGGGAAGAACAAAUGUGUAAGUAACUAUGCACGUCUUGACGGUACCUAAUCAGAAAGCCACGGCUAACUACGUG